GAUGAACGCUGGCGGUGUGCCUAAUACAUGCAAGUCGUGCGGAAAGGCCCUUCGGGGUACUCGAGCGGCGGACGGGUGAGUAAUGCCUAGGAAUCUGCCUAUUAGUGGGGGAUAACUCGGGGAAACUCGGGCUAAUACCGCAUACGUCCUACGGGAGAAAGUGGGGGAUCUUCGGACCUCACGCUAAUAGAUGAGCCUAGGUCGGAUUAGCUAGUUGGUGAGGUAAUGGCUCACCAAGGCGACGAUCCGUAGCUGGUCUGAGAGGAUGAUCAGCCACACUGGAACUGGGACACGGUCCAGACUCCUACGGGAGGCAGCAGUGGGGAAUAUUGGACAAUGGGCGAAAGCCUGAUCCAGCCAUGCCGCGUGUGUGAAGAAGGUCUUCGGAUUGUAAAGCACUUUAAGUUGGGAGGAAGGUCUGUAAGCUAAUAUCUUGCAGUCUUGACGUUACCAACAGAAUAAGCACCGGCUAACUUCGUGCCAGCCGCCGCCGUAA
rnacentral:rRNA from 1 species